rnacentral:rRNA from 1 species
CCUACGGGAGGCAGCAGUGGGGAAUUUUGGACAAUGGGCGCAAGCCUGAUCCAGCAAUGCCGCGUGCAGGAUGAAGGCCUUCGGGUUGUAAACUGCUUUUGUACGGAACGAAACGGUCUUCCCUAAUACGGUGGGCUAAUGACGGUACCGUAAGAAUAAGCCCCG